AUUGAACGCUAGCGGGAUGCUUUACACAUGCAAGUCGAACGGCAGCGCGGACUUCGGUCUGGCGGCGAGUGGCGAACGGGUGAGUAAUAUAUCGGAACGUACCCAGUAGCGGGGGAUAACUACUCGAAAGAGUGGCUAAUACCGCAUACGUCCUACGGGAGAAAGCAGGGGACCUUCGGGCCGUUCGUCACUAUUGGAGCGGCCGGACUAUCGGAUUAGUCUAGUUGGUUGGGGGUUAAAGGGACCGUACCCAAACGG
rnacentral:rRNA from 1 species